rnacentral:rRNA from 1 species
UACGAAGGGGGCUAGCGUUGCUCGGAAUCACUGGGCGUAAAGGGCGCGUAGGCGGACGUUUUUUAAGCAGGGGUAAAUCCGUGGAAGCUCAACUCCAGAACUGCCUUUGAUACUGGAGAGCUUGAGUCCGGGAGAGGUGAGUGGAACUCCGAGUGUAGAGGUGAAAUUCGUAGAUAUUCGGAAGAACACCAGUGGCGAAGGCGGCUCACUGGCCCGGUACUGACGCUGAUGUGCGAAAAGCGUGGGGGAGCAAACAGGG